rnacentral:rRNA from 1 species
AAUACAUGCAAGUCGAGGGGUAUAGGUUUUCGGAUCUAGAGACCGGCGCACGGGUGCGUAACGCGUAUGCAAUCUACCUUUUGCAGAGGGAUAGCCCAGAGAAAUUUGGAUUAAUACCUCAUAGUAUAUAGAGUUGGCAUCAACAUUAUAUUAAAGUCACAACGGCAAAAGAUGAGCAUGCGUCCCAUUAGCUUGUUGGUAAGGUAACGGCUUACCAAGGCUACGAUGGGUAGGGGUCCUGAGAGGGAGAUCCCCCACACUGGUACUGAGACACGGACCAGACUCCUACGGGAGGCAGCAGUGAGGAAUAUUGGACAAUGGGCGCAAGCCUGAUCCAGCCAUGCCGCGUGCAGGAUGAAGCAUCUAUGGUGUGUAAACUGCUUUUAUACGAGAAGAAACAACAUUACGUGUAAUGUCUUGACGGUAUCGUAAGAAUAAGGACCGGCUAACUCCGUGCCAGCAGCCGCGGUAAUACGGAGGGUCCAAGCGUUAUCCGGAAUCAUUGGGUUUAAAGGGUCCGUAGGCGGUCUUAUAAGUCAGUGGUGAAAUCUCCCCGCUCGACGGGGAAACGGCCAUUGAUACUGUAAGACUUGAAUUAUUAGGAAGUAACUAGAAUAUGUAGUGUAGCGGUGAAAUGCUUAGAGAUUACAUGGAAUACCAAUUGCGA